rnacentral:rRNA from 1 species
GAUGAACGCUGGCGGCGUGCUUAACACAUGCAAGUCGAGCGAUGAAGCACCUUCGGGUGUGAAUUAGCGGCGAACGGGUGAGGAACACGUGAAGAAUCUGCCUUCAACUCUGGGAUAACUCCGGGAAACCGGGGCUAAUACCGGAUAUGAGCCUUGAUCGCAUGAUCGGGGCUGGAAAGUUUUUCGGUUGAAGAUGACUUCGCGGCCUAUCAGCUUGUUGGUGAGGUAAUGGCUCACCAAGGCGACGACGGGUAGCCGGCCUGAGAGGGCGACCGGCCACACUGGGACUGAGACACGGCCCAGACUCCUACGGGAGGCAGCAGUGGGGAAUAUUGGGCAAUGGAGGAAACUCUGACCCAGCGACGCCGCGUGAGGGAUGAAGGCCUUCGGGUUGUAAACCUCUUUCAGUAGGGAAGAAGCGAAAGUGACGGUACCUACAAAAGAAGCACCGGCUAACUAUGUGCCAGCAGCCGCAGUAA